rnacentral:rRNA from 1 species
UACGUAGGGGGCGAGCGUUGUCCGGAAUCAUUGGGCGUAAAGAGCGUGUAGGCGGCUUGGCAAGUCUGACGUGAAAGCCCGCGGCUCAACCGCGGAUUGUCGUUGGAAACUGCCUCGCUAGAGUCCGGAAGAGGAGAGCGGAAUUCCGUGGUGUAGCGGUGGAAUGCGCAGAUAUCAGGAAGAACACCCGUGGCGAAGGCGGCUCUCUGGGACGGUACUGACGGCUGAGACGCGAAAGCGUGGGAGCGAACAGGAUAGAUACC